UUAUUCAUUUUUUGGGGUAGUUUUCUCUUUAUUGGACAGUUACUGGUAAAGAGGCCAACAGGAAACAAGGGGAGACAGAUGGGUAUGACAUGCAACAAGGAUGUCUUGCCAGACGUUGUAAAUAUGUGUCUACAUAGUUGGAUUCAUCAAAAAUUGUCAUAAAUGUGCAGCAGUGAAGUCCAGUCUGAACUCUGGCAGGUCCUCCAUCCUCUCAUCUUGUGGUCCUGGUCUUGAAGACUUUAAUAGUUUGAGUCUCUAUUGAGCUCAUUUGUUGUAAAGUUGUGUUUUUUAUCAAACUGCACACAGAAAACUGAGGGACAGGUCGUAUUAUUCCAUCAUAGGAGGACUGUAAGGAUGGAGCCUACAUUACCCACAAUGCAAGUCAACCGCAGACAGCUCAGUCAGGGAUUCAGGUGGAGAGUCUUCAAUCCGUGGUGACUGACGGCAGGUUUAUACAGAGCAAAAAGAGAAAGAGAGGAAACGACAGGAAAGCUGGAUGGAUGGAGAAAUGGAUGAAGGAUAAAGAGGAGAAAAGUCAGCGGAUAGAAUCAUAGAAUCGGUGCGUCGGGAGGAUGAGGAUGAGAGAUUGCGAGCGAGAGAGAGCGAGCGAUAACGAGGAGGCCCCAUUUAAAUGUCAGGUUCCCUCAGGGAUAAAGUGACUCUUUGACAGGCUUCACUUUUCACAACGAGGAUUUGACGCAAGAGCUGCAGCGACUGGAAAAUGAAUCUUCAACUUUAUCUUUGAUAUUUGAUUAAAAUGUCAAACCUUCGAUGGUUUCAG